rnacentral:rRNA from 1 species
UGGGGAAUCUUGCACAAUGGGCGAAAGCCUGAUGCAGCGACGCCGCGUGCGGGAUGAAGGCCUUCGGGUUGUAAACCGCUUUCAGCAGGGACGAGGCCGCAAGGUGACGGUACCUGCAGAAGAAGCCCCGGCUAACUACGUGCCAGCAGCCGCGGUAAUACGUAGGGGGCAAGCGUUAUCCGGAUUCAUUGGGCGUAAAGCGCGCGUAGGCGGUUUGUUAGGUCAGGAGUUAAAUCUGGGGGCUCAACCCCUAUCCGCUCCUGAUACCGGCAGGCUUGAGUCUGGUAGGGGAAGGCGGAAUUUCAAGUGUAGCGGUGAAAUGCGCAGAUGUUUGGAAGAACACCGGUGGCGAAGGCGGCCUUCUGGGCCACGACUGACGCUGAGGCGCGAAAGCUAGGGGAGCGAACAGG